rnacentral:rRNA from 1 species
UACGUAGGGUGCAAGCGUUGCCCGGAUUUAUUGGGCGUAAAGGGCGCGCAGGCGGCCGAGCACGUCCGUUGUGAAAUCGCCUGGCUCAACUGGGCGGGGUCAGCGGAUACGGCUAGGCUGGAGCAAGCUAGGGGGCAAUGGAAUUCCCGGUGUAGUGGUGGAAUGCGUAGAUAUCGGGAGGAACACCAGUGGCGAAGGCGACUUCCUGGCCUGUUCUUGACGCUGAGGCGCGAAAGCUAGGGUAGCAAACGGG